rnacentral:rRNA from 1 species
AUUGAACGCUGGCGGCAGGCCUAACACAUGCAAGUCGAACGGCAGCGGGGGAUAGCUUGCUAUCCUGCCGGCGAGUGGCGGACGGGUGAGUAAGGCAUGGGGAGCUGCCCAAUCGAGGGGGAUAACAACUGGAAACGGUUGCUAAUACCGCAUACGCCCUGCGGGGGAAAGGUGGGGACCUUCGGGCCUACCGCGAUUGGAUGCACCCAUGUGGGAUUAGCUGGUUGGUGAGGUAACGGCUCACCAAGGCGACGAUCUCUAGCUGGUCUGGGAGGAUGACCAGCCACACUGGAACUGAGACACGGUCCAGACUCCUACGGGAGGCAGCAGUGGGGAAUAUUGCACAAUGGGGGAAACCCUGAUGCAGCCAUGCCGCGUGUGUGAAGAAGGCCUUCGGGUUGUAAAGCACUUUCAGUCAGGAGGAAGGGGAGCAGACUAAUAUUCUGUUUCAUUGACGUUACUGACAGAAGAAGCACCGGCUAACUCCGUGCCAGCAGCCGCGGUAAGAC